rnacentral:rRNA from 1 species
AUGUACAACUCCAGCGCCUCGGCGGCGCAGGGGCAGCGCGACAUCAUCAUCAACAAACAUCACGGUGUGCACCACCCCGGGCGCCAUGCUGGUGGCCAGCUUCACGGUGUCCGCCGACAUGCGCACCCCCGAGCGGCUCAUGGUCACCACCACCGUCCUCAUGACCAUCCUCGGCGCCGCCUCGGCGUAUCGGGCCGCUUCACGGGCCGCCAUCGCGGCCACUCCACGGCCACACGCAUCUUCUUCCGAGCAUCCUUCUCGCUCUUCCUCCCGUUCAUGUCGUACGCCUUCUCCCAAGCCAAGAGCAAAGGCAACCAGCCCCGUGCGCAACUCAUCCUCCUCUGGAUGAUCCUUGUCGAGAUCCUCCGCAAGAAGGUCUACGCCCUGGUAGCCCCCGCAGGCGACGCCUUUGCACGCGGCGUAGGCCGCUACAGUUUCUUCGACGCCGUCGAGGAGGCGGCCCGCAUGGUGUGGAUCGGGUACCUCAUCUACACGUACGUCCACGGCUUCGGCGUGAAGUCCUUCUUCAUCAUCCUAUGGAUCUUCAGCGUCGUCAAGAUGUGCAAGCGUGCCAUAUGCAUCCAACUCGCGAAGAGCUCCUUCGACCUCGCCAAGAAUGCCUCUCUUAGAGAGGUGACUCCCUAUGGCCUUGAGAUCUGCGACCAAGAAGUGAAGAACAUUGGCCUGGAGAUCCAUGACCACAAAAUGAAGAACAUUAAAGGCGAUCCAACCGACGACCAAGUGACCAAAAAGUCCGAGCUUGUUCGGGUAUGUAACAUAUUUGACCUUGCCGAGACUGACACCAUCUUCAAGUACAACGAUAGCAGGAGGCACAAGAUGGAGGACAUCUGCCUCGCCCUCGCCCUCUUCAAGCUUCUCCGACGAAAGAUGGAGCACUUCCACAUGGCGGAGACAAAGACCACACAGGCGUGUGAUCUCGUGCUCCAGGGCCUCCUCAAGCUCACGGGGGACGAGACCGUCGACGCCAAGCGAGCGUUCGAGGUGGUGGAACUGGAGCUCAGGUUCCUGGAUGAGUACUACCAGGCCAUCAUUCCGCUAGCAUUGCCCAAGCCGAAGCUAUUCAUGGCCAACUUUGCCUUUUCCAUCGUCUUCAUCCUGCUAUACUGCAUCACCGUGCUCCUCAUCACCGGCAAUGGCAACAUCUUUGGGGUGUUGGGCUCCCUCUUCCGGGGCCUCGUCGGCCUAUCCAUCGACAUGGUAGUGCAAUACCAGUGCUUCCUCCACCAGGUGGACUUUCUCGUCGACAUGGUCUGCUCCUCCUCCGACCUAAUCAUCAGCUUUCUUCUCACGCUCACCCUACUCGCCGUCGAGACAUAUGAGUUUGUGCAGUACCUGCUAUCGGACUGGUUCGUCGCGUCCUUGCUCUGCAACUAUGCUCGGACGCCGGCGCCCCAACGGCCGUGGCGCGUCCAGCUGGUCAUCAAGGGAACACUUUGGGUGAAGCACCGCUCGCGCCCCGUCAUCAAGGUCCACCAAGUCACCAUGCUCAAGCUCCACCAGCUCACCCCACGCCGUGUGUGGAUGCUUGUCUCCCACCUGCUCAAGAGGCGGCUCGUCGGGCUCCCAGAUGCCAUCGUCACCACUAACAUCAAGCUGGCCAUUGUUAGGGUCUUGAAGGACAUCCCCGACCCUAGCUCCGACAAGGACUUCAGCAAUGGCAUAUGUGCAUUGCGCAAGCAUGAAUUCCCUCACCUCGAGUGGGCGUGCAGCGACAAGAUGGACGCCGCCACGGUGAUCGUGGUGUACUGUGCUUACCUCAUUGCAUACGAGCCAGGCCUCCUCCCAGACGACAAAGCAUGGACAGAGAAAGUGUACAGGGACAUCAAGGCGGAACUCAGUAGCUUCUUCCAGAGCUGUUGCACUACCGUGCACCGCCGUGAGCACCUGAUGAGGUUCUGCCCAACUAAAGAGAAGGAGAUGUCAACCAUGGAGAACGGUGUCAAGCUAGGGAAGCAACUAGAGGUAAGAGACAGUGGUGCCGAUGGUGAUACAUUGCACGAGGACGAGAGGGUUUGGAAGAUGCUCCUUGACUUCUGGGCGGAGCUGCUCGUGUUCGUGGCGCGCAGGCCAUCCGGAGGACAAGAUGCACACGCGUUAGCAUUGGGCAAUGGCGGCGAGUUCAUCACCCACAUCUGGGCUAUGCUUACCCACGCUGGCGUCCGUGUCCCCAAGAACCACCAGGAGGACCAUGUUCCAUGGUGCCAUCCCGCUCCAGUUUGA